rnacentral:rRNA from 1 species
CACGAAGAAGACACCGGCUAACUACCGUGCCAGCAGCCGCGGUAAGUACGGAGGGUGCGAGCGUUAAUCGGAAUUACUGGGCGUAAAGACGCAUGCAGGCGGCCGUGUUAAGUCAGAUGUGAAAGACCCGGGGCGUUAACCUCCGGAAUUGCAUUUGUAAACUAGGCAGGCUAGAGUCUUGUAGAGGGGGGUAGGGAAGUUUCAGGUGUAGCGGUGAAAUAGCGUAGAGAUCUGAAGGAAUACCAGUGGCGAAGGCGGCCCCCUCGGACAAAGACUGACGCUCAGAUGCGAAAGCGUGGGGAGCAAACAGGAUUAGAUACCCUGGUAG